rnacentral:rRNA from 1 species
GACGAACGCUGGCGGCGUGCUUGACACAUGCAAGUCGAACGGAAAGGCCCUGCUUUUGUGGGGUGCUCGAGUGGCGAACGGGUGAGUAACACGUGAGUAACCUGCCCUUGACUUUGGGAUAACUUCAGGAAACUGGGGCUAAUACCGGAUAGGAGCUCCUGCUGCAUGGUGGGGGUUGGAAAGUUUCGGCGGUUGGGGAUGGACUCGCGGCUUAUCAGCUUGUUGGUGGGGUAGUGGCUUACCAAGGCUUUGACGGGUAGCCGGCCUGAGAGGGUGACCGGCCACAUUGGGACUGAGAUACGGCCCAGACUCCUACGGGAGGCAGCAGUGGGGAAUAUUGCACAAUGGGCGGAAGCCUGAUGCAGCAACGCCGCGUGCGGGAUGACGGCCUUCGGGUUGUAAACCGCUUUCGCCUGUGACGAAGCGUGAGUGACGGUAAUGGGUAAAGAAGCACCGGCUAACUACGUGCCAGCAGCCGCGGUGAUACGUAGGGUGCGAGCGUUGUCCGGAUUUAUUGGGCGUAAAGGGCUCGUAGGUGGUUGAUCGCGUCGGAAGUGUAAUCUUGGGGCUUAACCCUGAGCGUGCUUUCGAUACGGGUUGACUUGAGGAAGGUAGGGGAGAAUGGAAUUCCUGGUGGAGCGGUGGAAUGCGCAGAUAUCAGGAGGAACACCAGUGGCGAAGGCGGUUCUCUGGGCCUUUCCUGACGCUGAGGAGCGAAAGCGUGGGGAGCGAACAGGCUUAGAUACCCUGGUAGUCCACGCUGUAAACGGUGGGUACUAGGUGUGGGGUCCAUUCCACGGGUUCCGUGCCGUAGCUAACGCUUUAAGUACCCCGCCUGGGGAGUACGGCCGCAAGGCUAAAACUCAAAGGAAUUGACGGGGCCCCGCACAAGCGGCGGAGCAUGCGGAUUAAUUCGAUGCAACGCGUAGAACCUUACCUGGGUUUGACAUGGAUCGGGAGUGUUCAGAGAUGGGUGUGCCUCUUUUGGGGUCGGUUCACAGGUGGUGCAUGGCUGUCGUCAGCUCGUGUCGUGAGAUGUUGGGUUAAGUCCCGCAACGAGCGCAACCCUUGUUCACUGUUGCCAGCACGUUAUGGUGGGGACUCAGUGGAGACCGCCGGGGUCAACUCGGAGGAAGGUGGGGAUGACGUCAAGUCAUCAUGCCCCUUAUGUCCAGGGCUUCACGCAUGCUACAAUGGCUGGUACAGAGAGUGGCGAGCCUGUGAGGGUGAGCGAAUCUCGGAAAGCCGGUCUCAGUUCGGAUUGGGGUCUGCAACUCGACCUCAUGAAGUCGGAGUCGCUAGUAAUCGCAGAUCAGCAACGCUGCGGUGAAUACGUUCCCGGG